rnacentral:rRNA from 1 species
GAUGAACGCUAGCUAUAGGCUUAACACAUGCAAGUCGAGGGACCGGCGCACGUGAGAGUAACGCGUAUCCCACCUACCCAUAACUAAGGGAUAACCCAGCGAAAGUUGGACUAAUACCUUAUGGUUAUGGAUGGGGAUUCGUCUGAUUCGCUUGUUGGCUGGGUAACGGCCCACCAAGGCAACGAUCAGUAGGGGUUCUGAGAGGAAGGUACACCACAGUGGAACUGGGACACGGUCCAAACUCGUACGGGAGGCAGCAGUGAGGAAUAUUGGUCAAUGGACGCAAGGCUGAACCAGCCAAGUAGCGGGCAGGAUGACGGCCUAUGGGUUGUAAACUGCUUUUAUAUGGGGAUAGGUACCAGAUGAAUAAGGACCGGCUAAUUCCGUGCCAGCAGCCGCGGUAAUAC